CACGUAGGGUGCGAGCGUUGUCCGGAAUUAUUGGGCGUAAAGAGCUCGUAGGCGGUGUGUCGCGUCGGCCGUGAAAACCUGGGGCUUAACUCUGGGCGUGCGGUCGAUACGGGCAUCACUGGAGUUCGGCAGGGGAGACUGGAAUUCCUGGUGUAGCGGUGAAAUGCGCAGAUAUCAGGAGGAACACCGGUGGCGAAGGCGGAUUUCUGGACCAGUUCUGACACUGAUGAGCGAAAGCCAGGGGAGCAAACAGG
rnacentral:rRNA from 1 species